UGCCCGCUCGUCCAAUGGCAGGACAUGCGGCUUUGGACCGCAGAAUCGUGGUUCGAAUCCACGGCGGGCAA
rnacentral:tRNA from 1 species